rnacentral:rRNA from 1 species
GUGGGGAAUAUUGGACAAUGGGCGCAAGCCUGAUCCAGCCAUGCCGCGUGAGUGAUGAAGGCCCUAGGGUUGUAAAGCUCUUUCACCGGUGAAGAUAAUGACGGUAACCGGAGAAGAAGCCCCGGCUAACUUCGUGCCAGCAGCCGCGGUAAUACGAAGGGGGCUAGCGUUGUUCGGAAUUACUGGGCGUAAAGCGCACGUAGGCGGGUAUUUAAGUCAGGGGUGAAAUCCCAGAGCUCAACUCUGGAACUGCCUUUGAUACUGGGUACCUAGAGUAUGGAAGAGGUAAGUGGAAUUCCGAGUGUAGAGGUGAAAUUCGUAGAUAUUCGGAGGAACACCAGUGGCGAAGGCGGCUUACUGGUCCAUUACUGACGCUGAGGUGCGAAAGCGUGGGGAGCAAACAGGAUUAGAAACCCUGGUAGUCC